GUCCACGCCCUAAACGAUGCGAACUAGGUGUUGGGGAAGGAGACUUUCUUAGUACCGCAGCUAACGCGUGAAGUUCGCCGCCUGGGGAGUACGGUCGCAAGAUUAAAACUCAAAGGAAUUGACGGGGACCCGCACAAGCGGUGGAUGAUGUGGAUUAAUUCGAUGCAACGCGAAAACCUUACCUACCCUUGACAUGUACCGAAGCCUGGUGAGAGCUGGGUGUGCCCGAAAGGGAGCGGUAACACAGGUGCUGCAUGGCUGUCGU
rnacentral:rRNA from 1 species